UACAUGUGGGGCAAGCGUUGUUCGGAAUUACUGGGCAUAAAGGGUGCGUAGGCGGCUUGUUAAGUCAGGGGUGAAAGUUUUCGGCCCAACCGGAAAAUUGCCUUUGAUACUGGCGAGCUGGAGUGCGUGAGGGGUGACCGGAACGAGUGGUGUAGCGGUGAAAUGCGUAGAUAUCACUCGGAAGGCCAACGGCGAAGGCAGGUCACUGGUGCGCAACUGACGCUGAGGCGCGAAAGCGUGGGGAGCAAACGGG
rnacentral:rRNA from 1 species